GGACUUCUUCUACGCGGAGAGCUCGGCCGGGAUGAAGUCGCUGGGCACCGCCAUCUCGUGGUGCUCCUUGGCGUUCGGCUACUACACCAGCACUGUGGUGGUGAAUGUGGUGAACAAGGCCAGCGGGGGAUGGCUGUCGAGCAACAACCUCAACACAGACAGAUUGGAGUAUUUCUACUGGUUGCUUGCGCUCUUGAGCGUUCUAAACUUCGGGGUGUAUUUGCUAUGCGCGUCGUGGUACAAAUACAAGAAGCUGCAAACGGAGAAGGCACCAGGCGCCUCUGUCGAUUAUGUCGAGGAAAGAAUUGAUAAGAGUGUUAGUAGGAAUUCCAGCCCCUAAAAUGUUACAUAUGGAGAUAUAUAUACAUCACUCGUUACAGAAAAAUAAAUCAUCAGCAAACUGAAAUUACUACUCUCAAACAUGUUUGAUCAUGUAUCAUCUAAAUUUCCAAAGCAGCAAAUAUAGGGUUGCGUACAUAAUCUGACUAGCUGCUAUUCGACUGUAGAUUUGUAAAAAAUCAUAGUAAAAAAUGAGAACCCAAGUGUAUAUAGUUUGUCUAUGUUGAGAAAUACAAUUGUGCACUCUAUACGAUAAUAAUUUUGAGCAUAGACUACAUCGCAAUAAGACUUUGCACUCGCACGUAUCUACUAGAGCUAGUUUGGCUAAUGCAAUUUGGAAUGUGAUGCUGUUUCGGUUGUUGUAUUUCUAAUCACCCUCCAUAUAUAAGGAUCCAAUCAUUGCCAUAAUCAUUCUGAAAACUCUUGAGUUCCCUUUUGUAUCAGAGUGAUUUCGGAUGACAAAGUGUCACAUCUUUCGAUCUCGUUGAUAAUGGAUAAUACAACUACUCAAUUUAUAGUCGUUUUCUUGGGACCAUGUUCGAAUUUGUUGCGGAGUAUGUCUCACUAGCCAUAUUAGAUUUUUUUGAUGAGUUAAUCAUUAGACGCCUUCAACCAAGAAUUCAGUCAGCCCACUCUUGAUUCCCCUGAACUGCUCGCACGAAUGCCAUUCUGUUGUCGGUGCCUUCUCAUACAAAUUCCUCCAAGAGAUGAUAUUGUUUGACUUCAAUGUUUCUAGCCAGUGGUUAUAAUUUGUUAAUGUAUUUGGACAAUUGAGUAGGAGAGAAUUGUGAGUUAGAGAGAGAAAAUUAAAAUAUAUGAAAUUGCAAGGACAUUUGAUGAAAAUAACAAAAUGUAGGUAAGAUUAUUUUCAUAAAAUGACUAUUUCUUAUGAGAUUAUAAAAAAAAGGGUUAAUUGCAUAUAAUAUCAUGAACUUUGUCCGAAAUCUAUUUUCCUCACGAUCUUUAAAAAUUUCAUUUUUUAUCAAAUACUUUGACAUUUGUUUAAUUUUCCCACGAUUUUUUAUUCGAUGACCGUAAAAAUGACCUAGCAGUGACGUGGAUUUAAUUUUACACGUAACACUGACGUGGAAUAUAUAUGAAUUUUAAAUUACACAUAUAAUAUUAAAUUAUAAUAAAAAACCCUAAUUUCUUCUAAUUUCUCAUUUUUAUCGGGCAAAAUAAAAUCAAAGAUUGCUUUUGGCACUAGAAAAAAAUGAUUGCUUUCCUUUCCACCACCUCUGUCGAAAGGUUCCUCUCCAAACCAGUGUGGAAGUCUUCGUGUCGAGGUCUUCCAAACCGGUGGCGCUGAUUGUUCGUUGAUUGCUGGCGCCGAUUGCUUCGUGUUUCCAAUCUUCCAAACUAGUGCACCGAUUGUUGGUGCCGGUGCUUCGUCCAUUGGUGGCGCUGAUUGCUGAAAUGAGGGUUUUAAUGUUUAAACUGAUUUCGAUUCCGAUUCCAGCAAGCCACAUCAGCGCCACGUCGAUUCCGAUUUGAGGGUAAAAAAAUCGUGGGAAAAUUAAACAAAUGUCAAAGUAUUUGAUAAAGAAUGAAAUUUCUAAAGAUCGUAGGAAAAAUGGAUUUCAGGCAAAGUUUGUGAUAUUAUAUGUAAUUAACCCUAAAAAAUAAAUUGGAAUUUAUUUAAUGAGGGCUUAUAAAUUGUAAAAACGUUUUUUAAAGAGCUAAUAAGUUCAUCCAAAUACUCUCUAAACCUUCCAUCUGUGAAAAUACCAAAAUACAUAGCAUGAUAAUUUAUAUUUCUUGAUGCCACUGAAAUACCAUUCAUAUAGGCAAAUAUAAAUAAAAAAUAACCUUGAAUUGGAAAGUGCAAGUUAAAAGGGUCGUUCACAAUGGAAUUUCAAUUGAACAUAACGAUGAAAUUUCCUUCUCGUUAAUUCCCUCGUCAUGUUAGUUAUCUCAAUAUAAAAAGUCCCCCAUGCUGCUUCCUUUAAUUUAAAGGUAUAGCUAAUUUGCAUUGCCUUUAGCCCCAGUAGGACAAAGUUAGGAAGACGUGUAAAUUGGGUAUUUUCGAUACAUAUAUAUAUACACUUAUUAUAAAAAUAUCUUUAUUUUACAAAAUUUGAUUUGCUGAUUUAUGAUAUAAUGUAUUUAUAUAUUAGUAUUAUAUUAUAAGUGUGUGUAUUCGCAUAGUUUGAUUAUACCUAUAUGUCAUUAUAUUGCUUAAUUUAAUUUUUGAUAUUUUAGUAAUUUAAUGUUGUAUAUAAAAUUUAUUUUGUACUAUUAUUUUUCACAUAUCACGUACCGAAUUAAUGACAUAUAGCCUAUAGGUAUAAUCAAAAUAUUUGUCUAUAAAAUUUGAUUUGCUUAUUUAGUUCGGUAUGUGAUAUGAAAAAACUAAUAAAAAUAAAUAACUGUUGAUUAUUUAAAACAUAUUAAAUAAAUUUAAAUAUUUUAAUUACUCUGCUUCCUUGAAAAUAAGGCGUGUACCUAAACGUUUAUGAACUUCCUUUUAUUUUAGUUUUCUUAAUUCUGACAUGUAAAAGUUUCCAAAUUAUGUACUCAUAUGUAUUUUAUCUUCGGAAUUUAUUAAUAGGAAAUAUUAAUUAUAUAGAAUUUUAUUUUAUUUUCGUAGGUUUUCUCUUCUUUUUGUUCUCAAUAAAUUUUUUUAUUUCAUACCAAAUGUAGAAAAUGAAUUUGUAGUUAAAGUACAGUCCAAAUGUAGAAAAUGAAUAUUUUUUGUGGGACAUACAAAAAUGAAAAAAAAAUUUAAUACUUUUAAGUUUUAAGGAACAAAUGGAGUAUAUUAUAAUUUAUUUUAAAAUGAAAUCAUUAAGUCAAAUAUUUUACAAGAUAAUUAUAAGUUAAUUUGAGUGAUGGAAGCAGAAUUUUGAAUUUGGAAUGCGAUAAAUAGUUACAUAAAUAUAAAGUGUGAAUGGAUGCGUCGAACAACGGACAACACAGAGAAAAUUGGAGUCGAAAGCUAAUCAUAUGAAGCUAGUUAUAUAAUAAUAAACGAAGCCAACGUCGAUCUUAAAUUAACUAACCAUGUUGGUUGUUGCAAUACUGCUGGAGAGAUUAUGCAACUAUAAGAGACAAAAGAGCACCCCUUCCACAUGACUAGCUUAAUUAUUACUAAGAUUCCUCAUAUUCAUUGGCUGUCACUAUGACUUGUAUAUAAACACACAGUUGAAGAGAUGCUAGAGCCUUCAACCCUCAUUGGACCAAACAAGCAAGCUAAGGCAUUGCAUGAAAAUGGUAAGUCUAUCUAUGCAAGAGCUUAUUCAGUAUUUUAGAAUUCCACAUGCAUUAAUUAACUCUCUUGAUUCCUGCUUUAGGGGAUUCUUGGAAAUGAAAACAUCCAACAUGGGCAGCAAGCAGGGGCCAAGGGAGGUAGAAGAGCAACCGUGUUUGUCUUUGGUACGUAAUUAAAUUGAGAAUAAAUCAAGAAAAGAGUAAUUAGUUUGUGAUUUAUGAUAUAUGCAAUGCAGCGAUGACAACGCUGGAGACAAUGGCGUUCCUUUCAAACGGAGUGAGCUUAGUGACUUACUUCUACGGUUACAUGAACUUCGGCUUAACCAAGUCUGCCACCACUCUUACAAACUUCAUGGGGACUGCCUUUCUCCUCUCUCUAUUCGGAGGAUUCAUCUCAGACACUUACUUGUCCAGGUUCAAGACUUGCAUCCUCUUCGGCUGCUUCGAAAUACUGGUAAUUAAUUACAAAAUUCACCUAUUUAUGUAAACUGAAAUGAUUUUGAUCAAAAUGAUGAAAUGGUUUGAAUUUGCAGGGGUACAGUCUGUUAGCAGUUCAAGCACACUUGAAACAGCUGAGGCCUUUGCCAUGCAAAGAUGCAACGAUUGGAUGUGAAUCAGCGAGCAGCAACCAAGAGGCGAUACUCUUCACAGGGCUGUAUUUGGUAGCACUGGGCACAGGAGGGAUCAAGGGGGCCCUGGCUUCUCUUGGAGCAGAUCAAUACGACGAAAGGGACCCUAAAGAGGCCGCGUCACUCUCGAGCUUCUUCAACUGGUACGUGUUCUCGGUCACAUUCGGAGGAAUGUUCGGGGUCACAUUUUUGGUGUGGUAAGCACCAACCAGGGCUGGGAUUGGUCGUUCGGAGUGUGUGGUCUAGCAGUGGCAGUAGCUAUUCUGUUACUCGCUAUGGGGAGAUCACUGUAUCGGACCAACGUGCCAAAAGGUACGAGCCCCUUAGUCCGAAUACUACAGGUACGUACGCAGCCUUAUAUCAGCACCAAUUUUUUUUCCAAACAUAUAACUUUCUUGGCUCAUACAAAGUUUUCAUUGUAUGACUAGGUAUUGGUAGUAGCAGUUAGAAACAGGAACUUACCUGUACCAAAGAUAGCACAAGAGCUCCAUGAAAUUCAUGAUAAAGAAGUAGGAAACAAUGAGAUUCUUCAGAGAACCGAUCAAUUCAAGUAAGGUUUCUUUCGUGUACAGGCACAUCAACAUGUUCUGUAAGGGUGCAUUCUUUUUAAUAGCAAAUUUAUUUUCCACCCUUUUUUGUCAACCAAAACUGAGAAGAAGCGGUUUCAGGUUGUUGGACCUUGCAGCGAUCCCAAGGAACUCGAACUCAGAAGAUUCAGAGUCAUGGAGAGUGUGCACAAUCACACAAGUGGAAGAAACGAAGAUCUUAAUGCGGAUGCUGCCGAUCAUAGUGAGCACUGUUUUCAUGAACACAUGCGUGGCUCAGCUGCAGACAUUUACAAUACAGCAAAGCAUGACAAUGGACAGAAGUUUAGGAAGCUUCCAAGUGCCAGGCCCCUCAAUCCCAGUGAUCCCCCUUGUAUUUAUGUCCAUACUUCUCCCGGCAUAUGACCGUUUCUUCGUCCCGCUGGCACGAAGGCUGACAGGCAUCCCGACAGGCAUUACACAGCUCCAAAGGGUCGGAGUGGGUCUAGUCCUCUCCAUAAUCUCCAUGGCGGUGAGUGGAGUCAUCGAGACACACAGGAAGAGCGUGGCUGUUGAGCACAACAUGGUGGACUCGGCGGGGCCUCUCCCAAUGAGUGUGUUCUGGCUGGGUAUACAGUAUGCAAUAUUCGGGAUGGCUGACACAUUUACGGUGGUGGGGCUGCUGGACUUCUUCUACGCGGAGAGCUCGGCCGGGAUGAAGUCGCUGGGCACCGCCAUCUCGAAGUGCUCCUUGGCAUUCGGCUACUACACCAGCACUAUGGUGGUCAAUGUGGUGAACAAGGCCAGCGGAGGAUGGCUGUCGAGCAACAACCUCAACACAGACAGAUUGGAGUAUUUCUACUGGUUGCUUGCGCUCUUGAGCGUUCUAAACUUCGGGGUGUAUUUGCUAUGCGCGUCGUGGUACAAAUACAAGAAGCUGCAAACGGAGAAGGCACCGGGCGCCUCUGUCGAUUAUGUCG
rnacentral:lncRNA from 1 species